rnacentral:tRNA from 1 species
GGAGAGGUGCCGGAGUGGUCGAACGGGGCGGUCUCGAAAACCGUUGAGCCUUCGGGUUCCCAGGGUUCGAAUCCCUGUCUCUCCGCCA